UUCGCCCUUAGAGUUUGAUCCUGGCUCAGAGCGAACGCUGGCGGCAGGCUUAACACAUGCAAGUCGAGCGGGCCCUUCGGGGUCAGCGGCAGACGGGUGAGUAACGCGUGGGAACGUGCCCUUCGGUUCGGAAUAACUCAGGGAAACUUGAGCUAAUACCGGAUACGCCCUUUUGGGGAAAGGCUUGACUGCCGAAGGAUCGGCCCGCGUCUGAUUAGCUGGUUGGUGAGGUUACGGCUCACCAAGGCGACGAUCAGUAGCUGGUCUGAGAGGAUGAUCAGCCACACUGGGACUGAGACACGGCCCAGACUCCUACGGGAGGCAGCAGAAGGG
rnacentral:rRNA from 1 species